UUAAUGUACUCAACAGUGCCACUACCUGACACAACAGCAGCAGUGAUGGGGGCAGGGGAGAAAAGGCAGAGGAGGUGAGAGGCUCAGGUUGGAGCUGUUUAGCCCACUUCAGCUAUUCCUCUCCUACUUCCCUCACACGUGCCAUGUCACAACACAGCUGCUGCAGACUCACUCCCUGAGCAGGAGAUCUUUGGGGUGCAGUGACUGAUGGUCAGGCUUGACAUGAAGAACCCAUCUCUGGGGAUGGAGAGAAAAGACAAGGACUCUCAACACCUUUGGCAAGAAUUUCCUUAUCAGCAAGCUGGAAAAACUCAAAGCUACUGAGUGCUCUGUGCGUGGGGAGAGCAGCAGAGUCUGAGAAUGGGAGAGACUCACACCACCCCCUUGUUCAUUAGGAGUGGAACGCUGAUGAGCAGCGUGGGUACUAAGAAGUCACCGCUGCAAUCCACAAAGAUGGACUAAUUCCAGAGGAAGUCAAGCGAAGACUGUGUCACAACUAUUAACCCAAUUUUAAAGAUGCUCCAAACUGCUGCCAGCAUGUACUUUAUAUAAUGUGACCGAAGUUUGGACUGCUGAUCUUCAACAUCUAUACCAGUGAUAUAGAUAAUGGGAUUGAGUACAUCUUCAGCAGUUUUCUGAUGACAUCAAGCUGAGUGGUGCAGUUGAUAUGACAGAAGGAAAGGAUACCAUCCAAAGGGACCUGGACAGACUGGAGAGGUGGGCCCACAUGAGCUAAUGAACAAGGCCAAGUGUAGAGUGUUGGGUUGGAGUAAUCUCAGAUAUGUGUACGGAAUGGGAGAAGAAUUCAUUGAGAACAGCCUUGGACAGAAGGAGCUGGGAGUUAUGAUGGAUGACGAGCUGGAUAUGAGGCAGCAGUGCACACUUGUAGCCAAGAAGACCAACAGUAUCCUGGGCUACAUAAAAUAGGUGUGGCAGUGAGCAGGGAGGGGAUUGUCCCCCACUUCUCUGCUCUUGUGAGGCAUCUGUCUGGAUGGAGUACCAUGUCCACACCUGGGGCCCCCAGCAAAAGAAGGAUGAAGAUCUGUGGGAGAGGAUCCAAAAGAAGGUCACAAAGAUGUUCAGAGAGGUGGAGCACUUCUGAUACGAAGAAGGAUUAGAGUGAGAUGUGCUUAGCUUGGAGAAGAGAAGGAUCUGGGAAGACCUCAUAGAAACCUAAUACUUGAGGGGAGCUUAUAAGCAGAGGGGAGCUUAUAAGCAGAAGGGAGGUGCAAUUUUUGAUGUGAUUGGAAAGGGAGAAAUGGCUUUAAACUAAAAGAGGGGAAAUUUAAGUUGGAUGUUAGGAAGAAAUUCUUUCCUCAGAGGGUGGUGAGACCGUGGCACAGGUUGCCUGGAGAAGCUGUGGAUGCCCCAUUCCUGGAGUCAGCCAAGGCUAGGCGCCCUGAGAAGCCUGGUUUAGUGGCUGGCAACCUUUCCCAUGGCAGGGGGAUUAGAGAUUAAUGACUUUUAACCUUCCAACCUAAGCCAUUCUAUGAUCCUAUGCUUUUAUGAUUUUAUUAAGUGAAUCCAAAUGUAAAGAACAAAACUGAGGGCCUUCAUUUUGGCCUUCAGUUGAAGCCACAGUGGGGUACGCAGAUCCCUAAUUUCAUAGUAUCUCUGAUCUUCACACUUUAUAAGUAGCAUUUUAGAACACAGGCUUGAUUCAUUUUCUGAUUUAGAUCUCUACAGGAGUAUACACUGAAAAAAACAAGUACAAAGCUUGGGAGUUUCUCUUUAUGGUAUCUGUUUUCAAUGAACUGUUUAUGUUCUACACUGGGAUUAUGGCUUUAUGUGCUAUCAACUUCUUGGUCUGUUAGCCAAACCUCUCAAAGCCAUAUGAAUGUUGAGGUAUUUUUGGACUUUUGUUUUGUUUUGUUUUGUUUUGUUUUUUCCCCUGCAGAUUAUUCAGCUAUUAAUUUUUUCUUUCUUUUUUUUUUUUCCCACAUACUGUUAUGCUAAAAAAAACCAAACAAGUUGAACUCAUUGUGUUUCUUUUUAUCAUCAUCUCUUAAUUUUAGAUAAAUGUAGGCAUUAGAGAAUGAGAAAACAAGAUAUUUUGACUUGAAAACAUAAAACUUUAUGAUCAAAGCUGCUUUUUUUAGGGUAAAAUGUCACAGGGAUCUAAUUAGGAUAAAGAAUUUAAACUGUCAUUGUAAAUUGGAGUAGAGAGCUUUGUGUAUGGGCUUCAUGUAUUCAGGGCUACUUAACCUCUGCAGGAAGUGGAGAGAAGUGGUUUGCAUCAGCUGCACCGUGUACAUUGUUUUCUCCUUGGUCAUCAGAUGCCAGGAGUUACAGUAAUCCAUCCUGGAAGUGACAAACAUAUGACACCACAUGGCAUGAUCCUGUGGGAAGAAGGGUGGAAUUUCCUAUGGGUGCAAAUGCGUCAAGAAAAAGGACAUUUUUUUAAGUCUGAACACCCUUCCUGGCUGUCCCAGGUUAGUGAUGUAUGAGGCUUCUCAUCUUUUCACUAAUUUUCUUCAUUCUUACAGUUUUAUUGUAUUUUUAUUUAUUUAUUUGUUUGUUUGUUUGUUUGUUGAUUGCAGUAGGAAUCACUUCCACAUACAGAAGACCAGGAUUUUUUUUUUUUUUUAAUGUAUGUAUCUUUAAUUUAUUAAUUAGGUACAUGUUACAUUUGUUGUUUGUACCCUUGUUCCUCACAGUCCCAUAUCUGUUAGGAUAUAAUCAGAAGAAAAAAAAAAUAAACAAGGUUUACAAUGAAAAUCUGUACUUCUUUGAUGGAGGUCAUUGAUAUGGAAGCUAUCCUCUUAGAGACAGGAUUAAGGUUUUAAAGCUAGAAGGGACAUUAUUAAUUCCUGAUCUGAGAACUUCUGGACAAUCUCUUCCCCAGACUAUCU
ensembl:lncRNA